rnacentral:tRNA from 1 species
GGUAAAGUGGCUGAGUAAGGCGGUAAACUGUAAAUUUACGAACGGGUAAUUCCCUUUAUC